rnacentral:tRNA from 1 species
GGGCCUGUAGUUCAGUCGGGAGAACGCCUGCUUUGCAAGCAGGAGGUCAGGAGUUCGAGCCUCCUCAGGUCCACCA